UGGGGAAUAUUGCACAAUGGGGGAAACCCUGAUGCAGCGACGCCGCGUGAACGAAGAAGGUAUUCGUAUCGUAAAGUUCUGUCCUAUGGGAAGAUAAUGACAGUACCAUAGAAGAAAGCUCCGGCUAAAUACGUGCCAGCAGCCGCGGUAAUACGUAUGGAGCGAGCGUUGUCCGGAAUUAUUGGGCGUAAAGGGUACGCAGGCGGUUUAAUAAGUCGAAUGUUAAAGAUCGGGGCUCAACCCCGUAAAGCAUUGGAAACUGAUAAACUUGAGUAGUGGAGAGGAAAGGGGAAUUCCUAGUGUAGUGGUGAAAUACGUAGAUAUUAGGAGGAAUACCAGUAGCGAAGGCGACUUUCUGGACACAAACUGACGCUGAGGUACGAAAGCGUGGGGAGCAAACAGG
rnacentral:rRNA from 1 species